rnacentral:lncRNA from 10 species
CCACAAUUGUCAGGCCAUCAAAAGCCCAGUGGUUGAGAAGAACACAGGCUCCAGAGUCAGACUGCCUGGCUUUGAAGCCCAGCCCUGCCAUGCACCUGCGUGUGACCUUGACACUAUAUACUCAACAAUGCCUUAAAUGCCAGCAGACCCUCUAAACUCACAAAAGGAGCUCCGGUCCUGCUGAGCAGGAGAACAGCAGGGUUUGGGAAAGCUGCUGAUUGAAAUGCAAGCCUUCUCCUGAGAAGAUAGAAUAUCUAGAAUCAAGAAAGAGGCAUUUGGCUUUUCCGGGUGCACCCACCCCAGCUUCACUUACAAAGGAUGAAGUUAACCAUAGGAAGUUGGGCAGCAACCAGAGUAGCAACUGGAUCUGAUCUCAAAGGACACACCAGUGAAAGAGCAGCCUUUUGUGGUUACUGAGUUAAAAUUGUUUCCAAUUACUCCGUAUUGUUUCUCUGAGAGUGAGUGAGAAGUGAUACAGAACCUUCCCUCCCUCGAACACCUGUUCUUGUGGGAAGGCGGGGGACCCCCUUUAAAACCUUGAUCCUCUACUCCAAAGCCAGUGUCUGUGGCACAAUUAAACACACAGGCAGGAACCCACAUGUCCUCUUCAGGUGUUAUUUAAGAUGGCAAGUUCAAGGAGUUAGCUAUAGCUGCCAGAAUCUAGCACCUGUUACACAUUAGCAAUUAAAGUUAAGCGGAUCUAACUUGGAACCAAUGAAAAUAAUGGCAGCUUCUCAGAGGUCCAGUUAAUCUCUGGUUUUUAGAAGAGUCUUCCUAGCUCAGAUUUUAAAUAAAGCACAUUUGGAUAGCAAGAGAAGUUCCUGAAGACCUAACAGAUUUCAGUUAAAUCUUAUUGUUUACUUUUAACAUAGUCAUUCUGUCAUUCAGCAAAUAUGUAUUGAACAACCUCUC